rnacentral:lncRNA from 1 species
GGUUGGUCUACGGGAAGAGGGAGGGCGAGAAGUGCGCGGAGAGCCUGGCUGCUCUUGCUGAGUCGGGCAAAUGCCAAGUCGUAUUGGUAGAAGAAGGACCUUUUGAACGAGCAGAAAACGCUGCAUCGGAGCACUGCUUUGCUGCUUUCAGAAAAGUGAGGGCUUGGACUGGUGGAGUGGUGUCCAGCAGAGUUCCAAGGUGGGUGAGAGGAGAAAAAGAAUUGAUGGAGGGGAGUGGGGAGGGAAGGAAAGGAUGCUUUUGCUCUGAGGUUGUCAUUGUGUAGGUAGCGACUUCUCCAUAACUAAAUGUAUUCAAGUACUAAAUAACCUGUGGUCCCUUCUAAAAUGAUUUUAUGUUUAGUUUUUUGGUCUUUUGCCUUAAGAACUUCAAACAGUAUAGAACUGUAUAAAGAGAAAGGGGGUGAUCUCCCAUCCCUUCUCCCUUUCCCCUCCCU